CAAAUAUCUCUUUGCUCUCCCAGAAACUGUGCUGUCUCACAACAUCUUUCUGAAUUAUCACUUUAUUUUUGAGACAAGAGUUUAAUCUUUCAAACGAAGUGUAUGCUGAUGGAAGAGGCCAGUGGUUCUGUAGGCGGAAGAGAAGAGCAGCGCUACCCUUGUGCAUGGGAGAAACAUUAAGAUGAAGGAAACAGCUAAUGGAGCCAGACUGCCUGGAUCUGAAAUUGGUUCUGCCACCAGCUAUAAUCAUUUACUGAGCAGACAUUGAACAAACUGCUGGGGAUGCUACUAUACUGACUCUGUGUAGGACCUAACCCUCCGGUACAUAGUUGUAUAUUCUUCGUUGUCGGUCCUUCUAGUUGUGGCAUGUGGGACGCUGCCUCAGCGCGGUUUGAUGAGCAGUGCCAUGUCCGCACCCAGGAUUCGAACCAACGAAACACUGGGCUGCCUGCAGCGGAGCGUGCGAACUUAACCGCUCGGCCACGGGGCCAGCCCUAUAUUAAAACUUUUGAAUUAUAAAAUUAUCAAAAAUAUGAGAUCCUGAAGCAAUGAAAAUUGGUACACUUCCGUCUUUAAGUAUUUUAAUGACUAUAUGUAAAAAUGAAAUAUCUUAUUAAUAUGACAUGGUGAUUUAUGUUCCUUCAUUAUCUUUAUCUUUGGAAUUAGUUGCUUGAUAGAAACUUAAGAUGACCAUAAAAUAACCUUUGUAUGAUUUGCUAUAGGGAUUUAAAGAUGCAUUUGCUUUUGUCUUCUCUAAUCAUCUCAUUAUUAAAACCAAAGUUACAUCUUUUUAUGCCUAAUGAAUUCAUUCUUAGGAGGUGAUCAAAUAUUAUCUCUGGACCACGUUAUCACAGUUUAGAACAUGGACUCUGGUGCCAACAUUUAUUAGCUCUGUGACAUUUGGCAAGUAUCUUAACUGUCUGUUCUUUAGUUUCCUCAAAUGUAAAGUGGGGAUAACCACAGUACCCACCUCAUAGGAUUUUCCCAAGGGUUAAGAGUUCAAAAUGUAAAGUUCUUAGAAGAGUCCUGGGGACAAUGCUGCUGCUGUGAAUGUUAGCUAUUUUUAUUAUAAUCUAGACGCAAUCACAGCUACCGCCAUUGAAAAUUUUUUUGCUGAUUUGCUUCUCA
rnacentral:lncRNA from 1 species